UCUUCAUCAGCCGUUUUCUAUACAUCCAACAUUUCCCACCCAAAAUGUUCCUCUACCUUCAUCUCUUUGAGAAAACCUAUCUUCACACCAUUAUAAUACAGUGAAAUAAAAAGAUUUGAAAUUGAAGCCUUAUCAUUCGAUCCACACACACAAGCACAGACACUCUCACACAACUCAGACUUACCCCUCUCCCUCUCGAUCUGCUGGUCAAGAUGACCGGAGCUGCACCUGCGUCGGUGUCGGCGACUCCCUCCGCCGGUGACGAGCACCUACACCUCGUCUCCUCUCGCACACCCGUACUUCAUCUCCCUCUCGCCUGAUCGGAGCUCCGACGAGCUUCUCCGACAGACCCGCACCACACACGUCCCUUGUUCCUUCUCCGGCGGAGGCAGUGGACGCCGGUGACGGUGAGACGCGGCGGUAGUGGCGGUGUAUCGUUCCGACAAGUUUCACGUCAGUGAAGUGGUUAUGUGGUUCGGUUAGUUCAGUUUGCUUUCGGGUUCGAUUCGGGGUUCAGGUGGCGGUUCAACUCGGUUCGGUCCAGGUCCUACUCGGGUCAGCAGGUUCGAGCCAGCGUGUUCGGGUCAGUGGAUUCAAGCUUUGUUUCAAAUAUGGUUUGGGUCUUGUUUCAAUCGACUUCAGGUUCGGGUCAGACUCGUUCUGGCUCGGGCUUCAACGGCGACGACUCGAGAUGUUCCGAAUAGGUUCAGGCAAUGACUCAACAAGUUUGCCCCUUUCAGUUUUCAGUUGCGAGUCUUAGUUUGUUUUGGUUCAGAUUCGUGUCUGGUUCAGAUUUAAAGUUCGCGACACGAUCGGUUCUGGUCUGGUUCAAGGUUCGCAUCGGAGUUUCGUGGACGUCGUCGGAAAACAUUUCAUUUCUUUUGUUCGGUUAACCGUUUCAUCCAUUUGGAAUCCUUUUCCAAAUCUUUCUUCGAGCGUUACUUUCAAAGAAUCUCUAUCUGCAAAACUUGUGAUCUCAAGACUUCAUCAACCCCACUCGCGGUCUAAGUGUACUUCCUAAGCAAAACAUUGUUGAUGAUGACGAUGCUAUGAAAAGAAGUAGCGUUGAUGCCUAGAUACACAUAUAGACGUUUAGGUUUAAUAUGUUGUAUCAAUUUUGCUUAUGAUGUUAUGUAUUACUUUUGGAACUUGUUGUCAUUUGAGUUUAUGUAAUGUUGACUAUUUGAAGUUAUGAAAUGAAAUUGGGAUUAUUUAAA